AUUGAACGCUGGCGGCACGCCUUACACAUGCAUGUCGAACGGUAACAUGACAUAGCAAUAUGUUGAUGACGAGUGGCGAACGGGUGAGUAUAACAUCGGAACAUACCUUGUAGCGGGGGACAACUAAUUGAAAGAUUAGCUAAUACCGCAUAACAUCUGAGGAUUAAAGCUGGGGACCGCAAGGCCUGGCACUACAAGAUUGGCCGAUGCCUGAUUAGCUAGUUGGUGGGGUAAAAGCCUACCAAGGCCG
rnacentral:rRNA from 1 species